rnacentral:lncRNA from 1 species
UUUUUUUCCAUCCAAAGCAUCAACUUGUAGAAUUCUUUAGAGACGCCUCUUCUUCGAACAUCAAGAUUAAUAUUGAGGUAUUUUUUUUCUUCUCUUUUUCUCUAUAUUUUUUUUCUUUUUCUCCUUUUCUUUUGUAGGAUUGAAAAAAAAAUAUGCAACAAUCGGCUUAAGGUACGAGAGUUUAACUUCGCCUUCGUACACCCUAAGACCGACCAAUUUGGCUUCAAGAUGGUGACUAUGCAACAAUCGGGUUAGGGUGCGAGAGUUUAAAUUUGCCUCCAUACACUCUAAGACCGACCAAUUUGACUUCAAGAUGCUAACUUUGCAACAAUCGGCUUAGGGUCCGAGAGUUUAACUUCGCCUCCGUACACUCUAAGACCGAUCAAUUUGACUUCAAGAUGCUACCUUUGCAACAAUCAGCUUAGGGUGCGAGAGUUUAACUUCGCCUCCGUACACUAUAAGACCGACCAAUUUGACUUCAAGAUCCUGACUUUGCAACAAUCGGCUUAGGGUACGAGAGUUUAACUUCGCCUCCGUACACUAUAAGACCGACCAAUUUGACUUCAAGAUCCUGACUUUGCAACAAUCGGCUUAGGGUGCGAGAGUUUAACUUCGCCUCCGUACACUCUAAGGCCGACCAAUUUAACUUCAAGACGGUCCCUUUACAUAACAAAUCCACCAGAAUGCCAGCUUAAGGUGCAAAGGGACAAAUCUUGUCCACCUUAAGGCAUGAAACUUUUGAGAUUCCUUUUAAGGAUAAACCCACAAGAGGCCAGCUUAAGGUGCAAAGGGACAAAUCUUGUCCACCUUAAGGCAUGAAACUUUUGAGAUUCCUUUUAAGGAUAAACCCACAAGAGGCCAGCUUAAGGUGCAAAGGGACAAAUCUUGUCCACCUUAAGGCAUGAAACUUUUGAGAUUCCUUUUAAGGAUAAACCCACAAGAGGCCAGCUUAAGGUGCAAAGGGACAAAUCUUGUCCACCUUAAGGCAUGGAAAUUUCAAUAUCCUUUUAAGGAUAAAAACAUAAGAGGCCAGCUUAAGGUACAAAAGGACAAAUUUCGUCCACCUUAAGGCAUGGAAAUUUUGAUAUCCUUGUAAGGAUAAACCCACGAGAGGCCAGCUUAAGGUGCAAAGGGACAUUCUUAUCCACCUUAAGGCAUGGAAAUUUUUUUAUAUCCUUUUAAGGAUAAAAACGUAAGAGGCCGGCUUAAGGUGAAAAGGGACAAAUUUUGUCCACCUUAAGGCAUGGAAAUUUUGAGAUCCUUUUAAGGAUAAACCCGCGAGAGGCCAGCUUAAGGUACAAAGGAAAAAAUUUUGUCCACCUUAAGGCAUGGAACUUUUGAGAUCCCUUUUAAGAAUAAACCCGCGAGAGGCCAGCUUAAGGUGUAAAGGGAAAAAUCUUAUCCACCUUAAGGCAUGAAAAUUUCGAUAUCCUUUUAUGGAUAAAAACAUAAGAGGCCAGCUUAAGGUGCAAAGGGACAAAUUUUGUCCACCUUAAGGCAUGGAAAUUUCGAUACCUUUUAAGGAUAAAAUCGUGAGAGGCCAACUUAAGGUACAAAAGGACAAAUCUUAUCCACCUUAGGACAUGAAAAUUUUGAUAUCCUUUAAGGAUAAACCCGUAAGAGGUCAGCUUGAGGUGCAAAGGGACAAAUCUUGUCCACCUUAAGGCAUAAAAAUUUCAAUAUCUCUGAAGGAUAAACUCAUUAGAGGCCCGCUUAAGGUGAAAAUGAACAAAUAUUGUCCAUCUUAAGGCAUGUAAAUUUUGAGACCCUUCUAGUUGUAGGCUUGGAGAACUUUGGCAUUCCAAAUCCCAUUGAAGGAACUCUCUUUCUUUUCGACGGGUUACCCCCAUGAGUCACAAAUAUUUAGAGUAAGUCCAAAAUUUACUUAGAAUAGUUUCAUACUUGGUAUCCAUAUGGUAGAUACUGCAUGAACAUAUUUUUUUUGACACUCAUGCAACUGAACUCAGAAUAAAAUUUCAAGCGCCUGCGUACCUCAGUAAAGAGGAUCAAGUCACAAUGUAGUUCUGGGUGUGGGUUUUUUUUUCUUUUUGUUUGUGACCUAACUUUUUCCUAGGCCGACUUUUUCGAGGUUUUCAACCUAGCGAACUUUCAUUUAUUUUUAUUUUUUGAGCCGUACACAGUUUAUACUCUUGCGGGCCAGGAGUGGACAUACAAUUUAUACUCGUGCCUUAAGGAGUGUACAUGCAGUUUAUACUUGUGCCUUAAGGAGUGUAUAUGCAGUUUAUAGUCGUGCCUUCAAGAGUAUACAUGCAGUUUAUACUCGUGCCUUAAGGAGUGUCAUCUUUCUUCAAGGAUAGUACUUCUUUAAGAACUUGGCAUUGAUGGGGCCAACCCUCACAUCAUCCGCAUCGACAAACUUGUAAGCACCAUUUGAAUAUGCCUCUUGUACGACAUAUGGUCCAUCCCACUUUGAGGUAAAUUUGCCCCCAGACUUAUGAGAAGUGAUAAUGGGCCUUCUUACUGCAAGGACUUGAUCUCCAACUUGGAAGCACCUCAAGCGAACCCUUUUGUUGAAAGAACGAGAUAGCCGGGCUUGAUAGCAUUCAAGAUUUUACUGAGCCUCCAGCCUCUUCUCAUCAAGAGCUUCUAACUCCGCAAGAUGCAACUUAGAAUUUUCUUCAUCGGUGAGCCCUUCUUGAAUAGCCAAUCUUAAAGAAGGCAUUUGACGCUCAAGUAGCAGGACUGCUUCAACUCCAAAAGCAAGUGAGUAUGGGGUUGCUUGCGUUGGUGUACGGUAAGUUGUCCUAUACGCUUACAAAGCUUCUUCUAUUCGCUCAUGCCAGUCUCAUUUGGAAUUGGAGACAACUUUUUUCAAUAAGCUGCAUAAAGUUUUAUUGAAGGCUUCAGCUAGACCGUUGGCGGCAGCAUGGUACAUAGAAGACUUGUGCUGGUUGAAGCCAAAGAGAUCACAGAUUUUGUUCAUCAACUUAUUAUCAAAUGGCUUUUCAUUGUCAGUUAUUAAGUACUGUGGAUUCCAAAGCGGUAGAUGAUAUUGACUCGGAUGAAGUUUGCAAUAUUUUCUUUCUUUACUUCCUCGAGAGCAACAACUUCGGCCCACUUUGAGAAGUAAUCUGUCGAGGCCAAGAUGUAUAAGUGUCCAUCAGAAGAUUUUGGUAGUGGACCAACAACAUCCAUUCCCCAAGCAUUGAAUGGCAAAGACGCUACAGUUCAGUGUAGUACUUCUAAAGGUUGAUGUAUACAGUUUGCAUGGAAUUGGCAAGCUUUGCAUCUUCUAGCAUAGUCCAAGCAAUCUUUCACCAUCGUUGGCCAAUAAUACCCCAUUCUUUUAAUGUGAAAAUGGAGCUUCGGUCUAGACUGAUACGAUCCACAAACUCCUGAGUGCGCUUCUUGCAAAGCUUAAAUAGCUUCUUUCCCUCCCAAACACCAUACGAGUACUCCUUCAAAUGAUCUUCGGUACAGUGUCUUUGUAAUAAAGGAAGCGAGGUACACGACUACGGAUGUCAGUCCUUCUCCUUGGAUCUUCUGGAAGUAUCCUAUAACACAAAUAGUUAAUGAUAGCUUAUCGCCAAUCCUCCUUUACAACUUCGGACAUAGCGAUGAGGUAUUCAACCUUGCCUUUUAUGUCUUAAUACUUAUUUGACGGUGGUACUACCCAUUCUUGGCGGAUAGUAACUCGUGUCUGAUUCAGAAGAGUUAGAGUUGAAGACAAAGCAGCUAGAGCAUCAUUUUGCUUAUUUUAUUUCCUUGGCACAUAUUGGAGGGUUACUUCUCCAAGCCAUCCCAUCAACUUCUGUGCAUAAUCAUGAUAUGGUCUUAACUCAGGCUUCCGAACUUAAUAGCUUCCCAAAAGCUGCUUGAUCACCAAUUGGGAGUCACCAAAAACUUGUAACUGUAGUUGUUUCAUGUCGACAACCAUCUCAAGUCUGAGUAUGAGCGCUUGAUAUUCAGCAAUAUUAUUGGAUCAAUGAUUCAUCAAGGUAAAUGAGUAGGGGAUGACCUCUUCUUAUGGAGUGACAAACACUACGCCAGCACCAGCUAUAACUCGAUGUGCAGCACCGUCAAAGUACAUCUUCUAUAGGGAUCUAACUUCAACAGUCAUUGCAUCUUCAUCAGAAAGUUCAUCGCUCCAUUCCCAGUCAUCAGGUAUUGGGUGAUCUGCCAAGAAGUCAGCCAAUGCUUAUCCUUUUACAGCUUUUUGAGGGAUGUACACGAUCUCAAACUGCUGAAAUUGGAGGUACCACCUUGCAAGUCGGUAACUGAGGACUGAUUUUGACAUUACAAACUUGAUGGGAUUUACCUUGGACACAAAACGAACAAUAUGAGCUUGAAAGUAGUGUUUCAACUUUUGGAUUAAGAAAGCCGAUGGCAAACAUAAAUUUUUGAUCGGAGAAUACUUCAUCUUAUACGGCGUGAUUAUUCUGCUUAAAUAGUACAGAGAGUUUUCUUUGCCUUCACUAUUUUCUUGAGCCAGUAGUGCUCCAACUGACCUCUUUUGUGUUGUAAUGUAGAGUAUCAAUGGUUUCCCAAGUAUGGGUUCCGCAAGAAUUGGUGGCUUCAUUAAGUAUGAUUUGAUACUCUCAAAAACAUUACUACAAGCUUGAUUUCAUUCGAAGGGAGUAUCCUUCUUCAUGAGAUGACUAAAUGGUUGACAUUUCCCACCCAGCUUUGAGAUGAACCUCCUUAAAUAUGCUAGCCUUACUUGAAGACUUUUUAACUCAUGAAUAUUUCGAGGCUCGGGCAUCUUCAAAAUCACAUCAACCUUGUCUUGAUUAAUUUCAAUCCCUCGAUGUCGCAUAAUGAAGCCAAGAAACUUUCCAGAAGUAACUCCAAAGGCACACUUUAAUGGAUUCAUACUAAGUUGAUAUCUUCGAAGUAACUCGAAUACUAUUCUUAGGUCUUUUAAGUGGUCAUCUCUCUUUCUAGACUUCACCACUAGAUCAUCCAUGUAGCAUUCAACAUUUUUAUGGAGCAGGCCAUCAAAGAUGUUAUGCAUAGCCCUUUGAUAAGUGGCACCAGUGUUCUUCAAACCAAAAGGCAUCACCUUGUAGCAAAAAAUACCUUUGGGCAAAAUGCAGUGAAUUCUUCAUCUUUUGGCGCUAUACGGAUUUGGUUGUAGUAGGAUGAACCAUCUAUAAAGGAUAUUGCUUCAUAACCAGUGGUGGCAUCAAUCAUCAAUUAUGGUAUGGGGAUUGGAAAAUCGUCCUUAGGGCAUGCGUUAUUGAGAUCUCUUAACAACUUAGGAUAUUGGGCAUAGAAUAAGGAGACCCAAAAGUAUUUAAAUUUAAAAAUACCUUAAUUUAAAUUAUCGGGCCUCUAGCAAGUUUAUCCUUAAAGGAUAUCAAAAUUUCCAUGCCUUUAGGUGGACAAAAUUUAUCCCUUUGCACCUUAAGUUGGCCUCUCACGGUUUUAUCCUUAAAAGGAUAUCAAAAUUUUCAUGCCUUAAGGUAGAUAAAAUUUGUCCCUUUGUACCUUAAGCUGGACUCUUAUGUUUUUAUCCUUAAAAGGAUAUCGAAAUUUCCAUGCCUUAAGGUGGACAAGAUUUGUCCCUUUGCACCUCAAGCUGACCUCUUACAUGUUUAUCCUUAAAAGGAUAUAAAAAUUUCCAUGCCUUAAGGUGGACAAGAUUUGUCCUUUUGCACCUUAAGCUGCCAUUCUGAUGGAUUUGUUGUGUAAAGGGACCAUCUUGAAGUUAAAUUGGUUAGUCUUAGAGUGUACGGAGGCGAAGUUAAACUCUCGCACCCUAAGCCGAUUGUUGUAAAGUCAUCAUCUUGAAGUCAAAUUGGUUGGUCUUAGAAUGUACGGAGGCUAAGUUAAACUCCCGUACCCUAAGUCGAUUGUUGUAAAAUCAGCAUCUUGAAAUCAAAUUGGUCGGUCUUAGAGUGUACGGAGGCGAAGUUAAACUCUCUCACCCUAAGUCGAUUAUUGUAAAGUCAGGAUCUUGAAGUCAAAUUGGUCGGUCUUAGAGUGUACGGAGGCAUAGUUAAACUCUCGACCUUAAGCCGAUUGUUGCAAAGCUAGCAUCUUGAAAUCAAAUUGGUCGGUCUUAGAGUGUACGGAGGCAAAGUUAAACUCUCACACCCUGAGCUGAUUGUUGCAUAUUGCUAUUUGUUUCAACCCCUAAAAAAAAGGAGAAAAGAGAACAAAAUAGUAAUAAACAAAUUAAGGAAAAACAACUCACUGAUGAUAUUUUGGUUGUGGCACAGUGAUCUACUCGAUGCAAAAGGAGAUUUUCAACUAAAAAAAAACUACUACACUGGAUUACAAAUUUCAAUAAUGCGUCGCCUCUAUUUAUAGAAGCAGCUGGGUGGUUUCCUUUUAACCCCUAAUCUGUGAUGAACUCAAAAAAGGAUUUGUAGAAAUCCUAAUCAAAUAUGGACGAAUGACGCAAACAGAGAUGGUGCAACAUUCAAUUCCAAGUACACAUUGGAAUUGAAUAUUGAAAUGGUUUCCUCCAGGAUUCAAUAUUUGUCUCCUUAUGGUAAAGCAACUAUGAAUACACAAUGAUUUGUAAUAAUUUUAUAAUAAUAAUAUUUAAUUAUUAUUAUUAAUCAUGAUCACUUAGUAUUGUUUUUGAUAUUUGGGUGUUAUCUUAUCUGGAUAUUACACGUGUGAAUUCUUAUUGGUUCCAGUUAAAUCUUCAGGUUUAUGCUUCAAGUUAAUCAUCGAUAUAUUAAAUAGCUUGACAAAUCUUGAAGUGGGGCCAAUUUGUAUACGACGAAAUUUUAUUAAAUUAAAAUUCAUACAAAAUUCGGAUUAUAGUAAAUUCAAAAUAGAUUAAUCCCGAAUAAAUAUUGUGGAUUAAUAUAAUUGGAUUAAUUAUUUAAAUCCAAACAUGUUUGAAUUUAAUUAAAGUCUAAUUUUUAUUGGGCUAAUCCAUUGAUUUGGGCUACAAAUGAUGAACCCAAUUUGCUAAACCCAAGAUAUUGUCAUAUUCUAGAGGCCCAAAUAAGUGUCACAUGUCAAAUGACAUGGCUUGCCAAGUCAAAGGAAGGAGCCAAUAGGACCAUGCCACAUGUCAAAAUGAUGCAGCAGGCCCAUGAAAUAAAAGCCCAUAAAAAGGCGCCACAUUAAUCAAAUCUGAUUGUUCAAAGAAAGUCCAUAUUGAUCAUGACUCUUCCUUUUCCACAAAUAUAAAUAGGGGUCUCAUAAUUCAGAAAAGAGACCCCAGAACUCUAACAAGAAGUAAGAGAAAGCUCGUGGAUCAAACGCCGCAAUUUCUCUAAAAAAAGCUCAAACAUUCAAAGCAAGUUUAUCAAGAUUCAAGAUCAAGACCGCAAUAUUCAAGAACCAGCACAAAAUCCCUUGAAGUCAAGCACAAGUCAAGAUCAAGUCCC